UACGUAGGGUGCAAGCGUUGUCCGGAAUUAUUGGGCGUAAAGAGCUCGUAGGCGGUUUGUUGCGUCGGCUGUGAAAUCCCGAGGCUCAACCUCGGGUCUGCAGUCGAUACGAGCAAACUAGAGUGUUGCAGGGGAGACUGGAAUUCCUGGUGUAGCGGUGAAAUGCGCAGAUAUCAGGAGGAACACCGGUGGCGAAGGCGGCAUCCUGGACCGACACUGACACUGAGGAGCGAAAGCCAGGGGAGCAAACGGG
rnacentral:rRNA from 1 species